rnacentral:lncRNA from 7 species
UUUAGCCUUCUCUUGAGGGGCAGAGGAACACGAUGGAGGAUCUGAAUUUGUUCAAGGUGGUAGCUGUUAUCCAAGACCAGCAGAGACCUGGUGGCAGCAAGAAUGUCAAGAUACCUAUAGCCAUGUAGAGGUAGCUGCCCAUAGAUGACUUGGAUCUUCAUUUUUUUGUGUGAAAUUGAAAUUUAUGGAUGUCCUCAGAGCAUGCUUAGUUCCUCUGAAACUGGAUGCUGUGAGCUGACACUGCAAGAGGAUGCUGGUUCUGAUGUCUUCUGCACACCUCUUUGAUCUGUGUUGAUGCAGGAUAAAUAUCAGUGAUUGGAGGCUUUUAUUUUUAAAAGCUUUUCAUUUUAGGCUUAUAUAACAAGGUAAAAGACUUACCUUUCCAGCUUUUAAAAUGAGGGUGAAAUCCAUUAAAACUGGCAGAAGAGUUGGUUCCAUAUCCACAGAGUCAACAGAGCCAAACAGAAAUAUGAAGCUGAGAAAAAAGGAGGGAAUGUAUGCAGCUGCAUGGCAUAGAGUCCAGCUCAGAACCUGCCUACCCAUCAGACCUCCCAGCAGUCCACUAAAUGCAGUUUGCUACUUGAAGUUUUAUAGCUGUGCUGCUUGAGAUGGACUGUUCUUUUACAUAUAGUACUGAGCUGUGAUGCAAAUUUUCCCUAUAAAGGGGCUUCUUUCUAGAUGAAAGAGUUGAUGAAGCUUCAAAAGUGGUUCCAUACUCUAGGAGAUGUGUGAUAGUACUGUCCUGGUUUGAGCAACCUGAACUGCAGAUGUCACUCUUCGUGGGAACUCAACCCUUUUGUUGCCUGCAGCAUCGGACUGCACAAACUACACAAUUCUUUACCCCAUGGAAGUGUCAGGAGGAAAUGUGGGCUGUGAUGAUCAAAAACAAAAGACUCUUUGGGAUCUUCGACCUUGUGCAAUUAAAGGUCUCCCUUCAAUACCUACUUCAUCAUUUAAUGUCUGUGGUGCCAAUAAUGUGCUGGUGCUUUGGUAUGGUAUCAACUCCAAGGGAAGAGUGCCACCUACUGAACUACCAGUUCUCUAUUUUGUGACAUAUAUAUCUGCCAGUUUUUCACCCAAAAUACUGACCAAAUCCUGUCUUGUGUAAGACAUGCAAUAUCAAGGCCUUGACAUGGCAUAUCCAAAUGUGUGAUGUUCCCAGUGUGGAUGAGAUCACUGUGCUGUGGCACUUGGAAACAUAAUCCUUUCCUCCUUUGUGGAUGUUUGAACGUGGAUUUUAACACGAUAAUUAUAAAAGACUGCAAUAAAAAUGAAGUUAGUAACAACCCACAUAAUGUUACUGUUAUCUGACCCUGAUUUGAACUCUCCACUGCUAUAAAAGCUAAAAUAUACUGCUAAUGAUUUCUUUGAAAAUAUGCUAAUAAUUAAUGCAUUAUUUCAGUCUUAGUCUCAUAAAAAUUAGAAAUGUCUUUAAAAAGAAUUAAAACAAUAAAGCUUUUUGUGCUUCCUCCUAGAU